GACUCAUUGCGUACAUGCCCUCACCGCCGCCCAGUUUCGGUUCCUAACAAAAGCAUGUUCCUCCUCAGCCACCCGUAAUCAAGAUAAAUUUGCCAAGUAAAUCAUUGUAGAAACGCUAGUUUGGGCCUGAAAAAUUCCAGGAGCAAGAGUCAAGAUUUGUCACUCCAUGAGGAUCUGGAGGGAACUCCCUUUCUAGAAACUUGACGGUGAAGUGCUGGUUGUAAUUUUAGAAAGACAUCCAAUCGUCUUUUUUAAAAGAUCGCCUAGGGCCCUUGUCCUGAGAGCUGGGAGCUGGUCGGAGUGACAGAGAAGCCAUGGAAGCAGCUGAGAAAGAGGAAAUAAGCGUUGAAGAUGAAGCUGUGGAUAAAAACAUUUUCAGAGACUGCAACAAGAUCGCAUUUUACAGGCAUCAGAAACAGUGGCUUUCCAAGAAGUCCGCCUAUCAGGCAUUACUGGACUCAGUCACAACAGAUGAAGACAGCACCAGGUUCCAAAUCAUCAAUGAAGCAAGUAAGGUUACUCUCCUGGCUGAAAUUUAUGGUAUAGAAGGAAACAUUUUCAGGCUUAAAAUUAAUGAAGAGACUCCUCUAAAACCCAGGUUUGAAGUUCCUGAUGUCCUCACAAGCAAGCCAAGCACUGUAAGGCUGAUUUCAUGCUCAGGGGACACAGGGAGUCUGAUAUUGGCAGAUGGAAAAGGAGGCCUGAAGUGCCAUAUCACAGCAAACCCAUUCAAGGUAGACUUGGUGUCUGAAGAAGAGGUUGUGAUUAGCAUAAAUUCCCUGGGCCAGUUAUACUUUGAGCAUCUACAGAUUCUUCACAAACAAAGAGCUGCUAAAGAAAAUGAGAAGGAGGCAUCAGUGGACACCUCUCAGGAAAAUCAAGAGGAUCUAGGCCUGUGGGAAGAGAAAUUUGGAAAAUUUGUGGAUAUCAAAGCUAAUGGUCCUUCUUCCAUUGGUUUGGAUUUCUCCUUGCAUGGAUUUGAGCAUCUCUAUGGGAUCCCACAACAUGCAGAAUCACACCAACUUAAAAAUACUGGUGAUGAAGAUGCUUACCGUCUUUAUAACCUAGAUGUCUAUGGAUACCAAAUAUAUGAUAAAAUGGGCAUUUAUGGUUCAGUACCUUAUCUCCUGGCUCACAAACUGGGCAGAACUAUAGGCAUUUUCUGGCUGAAUGCCUCAGAAACGCUGGUGGAGAUCAAUACAGAGCCUGCAGUAGAGUAUACACUGUCCCAGAUGGGCCCAGUUGCUGCUAAACAAAAGGUCAGAUCUCGAACUCAUGUGCACUGGAUGUCAGAAAGUGGAAUCAUUGAUGUUUUUCUGCUAACAGGACCUACACCUUCUGAUGUCUUCAAACAGUACUCACACCUUACAGGCACACAAGCCAUGCCCCCUCUUUUCUCUUUGGGAUACCACCAGUGCCGCUGGAACUAUGAAGAUGAGCAGGACGUAAAAGCAGUGGAUGCAGGGUUUGAUGAGCAUGACAUUCCUUAUGAUGCCAUGUGGCUGGACAUAGAGCACACUGAGGGCAAGAGGUACUUCACCUGGGACAAAAAAAGAUUCCCAAACCCCAAGAGGAUGCAAGAGCUGCUCAGGAGCAAAAAGCGUAAGCUUGUGGUCAUCAGUGAUCCCCACAUCAAGAUUGAUCCUGACUACUCAGUAUAUGUGAAGGCCAAAGAUCAGGGCUUCUUUGUGAAGAAUCAGGAAGGGGAAGACUUUGAAGGGGUGUGCUGGCCAGGUCUCUCCUCUUACCUGGAUUUCACCAAUCCCAAGGUCAGAGAGUGGUAUUCAAGUCUUUUUGCUUUCCCGGUUUAUCAGGGAUCUACGGACAUCCUCUUCCUUUGGACUGACAUGAAUGAGCCCUCUGUCUUUAGAGGGCCAGAGCAAACCAUGCAGAAGAAUGCCAUUCAUCAUGGCAAUUGGGAGCACAGAGAACUCCACAACAUCUACGGUUUUUAUCACCAAAUGGCCACUGCAGAAGGACUGAUACAGCGAUCUAAAGGGAAGGAGAGACCAUUUGUUCUUACACGUUCUUUCUUUGCUGGAUCACAAAAGUAUGGUGCUGUGUGGACAGGCGACAACACAGCAGAAUGGAGCUACCUGAAAAUUUCUAUCCCGAUGUUACUCACUCUCAGCAUUACUGGGAUCUCUUUUUGUGGAGCUGACAUAGGCGGGUUCAUUGGGAAUCCAGAGACAGAGCUGCUAGUGCGUUGGUACCAGGCCGGAGCCUACCAGCCCUUCUUCCGUGGCCAUGCCACCAUGAACGCCAAGCGACGGGAGCCCUGGCUCUUUGGGAAGGAACACACCCGGCUCAUCCGAGAAGCCAUCAGAGAGCGCUAUGGCCUCUUGCCAUAUUGGUAUUCUCUGUUCUACCAUGCACACGUGGCUUCCCAACCUGUCAUGAGGCCUCUGUGGGUAGAGUUCCCAGAUGAACUAAAGACUUUUGAUAUGGAAGAUGAAUACAUGCUGGGGAGUGCAUUAUUGGUUCAUCCAGUCACAGAACCAAAAGCCACCACAGUUGAUGUGUUUCUUCCAGGAUCAAAUGAGGUCUGGUAUGACUAUAAGACAUUUGCUCAUUGGAAAGGAGGGUAUACUGUAAAGAUCCCAGUAGCCUUGGACACUAUUCCAGUGUUUCAGCGAGGUGGAAGUGUGGUACCAAUAAAGACAACUGUAGGAAAAUCCACAGGCUGGAUGACUGAAUCCUCCUAUGGACUCCGGGUUGCUCUAAGCACUAAGGGUUCUUCAGUGGGUGAGUUGUAUCUUGAUGAUGGCCAUUCAUUCCAAUACCUCCACCAGAAGCAAUUUUUGCAUAGGAAGUUUUCAUUCUGUUCCAGCGUUUUGAUCAAUAGUUCUGCCGACCAGAGAGGUCAUUAUCCCAGCAAGUGUGUGGUGGAGCAGAUCUUGGUCUUAGGCCUCAAGAAGGAGCCAUCUUUUGUGACUACCCACUCAUCUGAUGGUAAAGAUCAGCCUGUGGCUUUUACAUACUGUGCCAAAACGUCCAGCCUGAGCCUGGAGAAUCUCUCGCUCAACAUUGCCACUGACUGGGAGGUCCGCAUCAUAUGACAAAGAACUGCCCCUGGUGAUGUGAGCAGGGACCUGCCAGUCCCUUUCAACCUUCCCCUCGCCUUUUUUGAGAUUUGUGCAGCAAUCUACUUGCCUUUCCUGAGUCAAAAUAAUCUUUCAUUCGUCACCAUUAUACUAAUGAACAAUAGAUUUCAUGUUUUAAAUUUUCAGAUUUUACAUGUUAAGAUGUACUAGCAAUAUUCCUUGUGUCAAACAUCCCCUUUUCUCCUGGAUACAUAGCCCUGAGACAUUUAUAGCGUUCAAGAGUCUUCUGUUGCUUCCAUUGCUUGAGCAAGGCUGCAUGGUUCUGUUUUAAUGUGGGCCAAGCCUACCUGGGCAACCCCUUUGCCAGGGCUUGCCUCGGGCCAUGCAGCAUUGGCGUUGUGGCUGCAGCAACUGAGUUGCUUGAGGCCAGUCUCCAAGUGGACAGCAGCCUCUGAUAGUCCCCACGGUUAUCUUCCACCCACAUGGACUGGGCAAAGCAGCCCUCUUCUGUGUGCACUGCAUACACUGCAGCAGUGGGAGUUAUUCUCCCCUAGAGAUCCACUUGGCAGCACGAAGGAUUCUUUUCUCUUUCAUGCUUCUCAGGCUCAAUAGUUUCUAAUUAAUCUUAAAAUCCAUGUCUUUUAAAUUGUUUUUUAAUUAAGUGCUGUCUGCUAACCAAAGAAUAUUUGUAACGUGAGUAAGCUAUGAUUAAUAACAAUGAAAUGAAUACCCACGUACCCACCACUGGAUUUCCGAAGUAGAACUCAUGACUGGGACUAGGAUGAGGCAAGGGAGGCCCUGGCCUUGGGCACAAAAUGUAAGGGAUGCCAAAAAAUACAGUAAUCAAAAUAAGUAAUAUUUCAAUCCACUAUUUUUAAAAAUCAGAAUUAAUGCAAAAAAAAAAAAAAAAAAAAACACCAUGAUGAACAAAAUAUCAAAAUUUAAAAUAAAGACAGGAUUAGUAUUACUGAGUUUUCCUUUGUCCCAGGCUCUAAUGUGGCUUGGCAUGGAGCAGAACAUUACAAUAUACCAGUCGCAUCAUAAUGCCCAAGGCUCUGCAGACCCCAGUGGCUCCCUGCUGCCUGCCUCAGCAUCUGUUUUGGCAGCCUCAACUCCCCAGCACUCCUCAGCACACACCUCUUCUUUUCAGGCUUCCUCCACUUAGCAACUUGCCAGUGGCCACCUCUGUGCCUUCUCAUCCCUGGGCACCAAUAUCCUCCUGCCCUUACCAUCCUUCCAGGCCCAACUCAAAUCCCACUUUCCCAUUAAGCCUAACUACGCGAACACCCCUACCCCCAUACCCAUUAGUAGUGAUUUUGCCCUUCCCUGUAAUGCUAUCCCACUUAUAACUGUGCUCUACUUACCAUUCUCAGGGAUCAUACCUUAAUGUUUUCAGUGUGUCUCUGUUCUCACUAGAUUGUAUGUUCCUCAAGAGCAUGUUCUAUUUCUCUUCUAUCUGACACAGCACUAUUAUACCUGACUUUCAGUAACUGUUAGCUGUGAUUGGUUAGGUGGUGGAUUUAAUUGAUUAAAAAAUUACAUUUGAAUGUAUUUCCAUCUGAUUUACUUUUCUGAUACAAGAUUCUUCCCAAUGGCAGUCAGCAUUGUACAUUUCCUCAUGGACACAUUUCAUUGUAUAGGUUGAGAUUUGAGCUCUGCACCAUAUGUAAGCUCACAGAGACCUGCACAGAUUCUUUGCUCCUAUAUCUGUAAGUUUUGCAGUUGAGAAGAAAGGAGCAACCUUAUAUUAGCUGAAGCCAUGGUUCCUAUCUUCAAAUUUCCCUUGCCAACCUAAAAUAAAACUUAGCCAGAAGACUGGGUGCUCCUCCCUAAUAUAAAUGAUAGUUUUUAAUAUCAUUUAAAGUUGAAUCAGAACUCUCUUUAGGUCAACAUUUAUUGCACAUCUGUUCUUCCAUUUAAAAUAUUGUUGGAGGAAUGGAACAGUAACUAGUAGAUAAGUUAAUGAGGAGCUGCUCUGUUUUGACCCAAAUCUAUAUUGAAACAUUUGACUAGAGACAAGUGGAGAGAAAGAUAACCUGGACGUUUUUAAUGGUUUUCUGCGCUUAUUGCUUCUCACACUUCACCUGCCUCCCAUUUCUGAAUUUGUGUACCAGAGAGCAAUAUGGGGCUGAGUUGGCCUACAGGGUUCCUAAAAAAGCUCUAAAAUGAAUUCAUAGUGUGUCUUUCCUUCAAGAUAUAAAUGUCAAGGAAUGAGUUGACAAAUCAGUUUAAAAACAGAAACUACCCAACAGAAAAAUGUAAGUAUAAUCUUUCAGGAUUAUAUAAAAUCAAUAUUAAAAAUAUUUUGUAAUAUUUUUAUAUAAAUACAUAAACAUUUUAUAUAUGGAGCCUGGUGACAGAGACUCCAUCUAAAAAAAAAAAAGAGAUAAUCUCUAAAAUGUUGUAUGUUUUCUGAUACUUAACUGUCAAAAUACAGCAGAUAUCUCAAGUUUCCUCAGAUGUAAAAUGGAAUUAGUGAAACUUGCAGAGUGUUUCUACAAAUUUGAAAUAUUUUAUGUGUACAGAAGGGGAAAAAUAGUAACAUUACCAGGGAGAAACUCGGUAAACAUUACUUUAGGCAAGUGAUCAAAGUUGACAUCACCUGUAAUAAAACCUGUCAAUAUCGUGUAGCCCCAAAUAUGGUUUGAGGAGGUGGCCAUGUCACAUCUGUGACAGUCUUCCCCCAAAUCCAUAACCUUAGUCUAAUCAUGUGAAAAAUAUCAGAGAAACCCAAAUUUAGGGUCAUUCUACAAAAACCUGACAAAUACUCUUCAAAAGUGUCAAGGUCAUGAGAGAAAGACUGUGGAAUGAUCAGAGACUGGAGGACACUAAGGAGUUCUAUCUUUGCAACUCUUUUGUAAGUCUAAAAUUAUCUUAAAAUAAAAAGUUUUUUAAAGGUCUCUGUGAAGUGGCUAGCUCCCAGUAGGCACUUAAUGAAUGAGAGAUAUUAUAAUGAUAAGCAAAAACAUUGCUUCCAAUAGUGUUAGAAAUCAAAGAAAUGCUUCUUGGUGGAAAAGACAGAGCCAUUAGUUGGCAAUGCUGUGCAACAGAAACCAUUCCAGCCACAGAUAUUACAUGACCGUGGGUGACGUCUGUUAUAAAAACUGGUUCUUUCCUUAAAGGGGCUUCUGGGAAUUGAAAUGUGCAGCUGUUUAUGUGUUCAUUAUCUGCCCUUUGUUCAUGGGCUCGAGUUGGAUUUCUCCCUAAUAGCAUUGGUUUCCACAGCUGUGCCACUGAAUAAACCUUGAGUUUGGACCUA